GCGCCGAUGGUACUGCCACCGAAGGGUGGUGGGAGAGUAGGACACCGCCGGAC
rnacentral:rRNA from 1 species